GCCAGGAUGGUGCAGUGGUUUGAGUGCUGGAUUAUGACUCUGGGGGACCAGGGUUCAAAUUCUUGCUUGGCC